rnacentral:lncRNA from 1 species
CCUGACUCCAAAUGCAGUGCGACACAACGUACGCAUGCGCCUGACGCCAUGCCUUCCCAGAUGUGAUGGACUGUACCUCUCACCGGUUUUAGAUGACUUUAUUCAUCAGAGCACACAUAAACAAAUGGGACUCCAAACAAACCCAUGCAACCUCUGAGAAAGAGAACUUGAAUCCUGCCGCUCUCCACCAGUCUGCAUUGACGUAAGUUUGCUACCUCAUCCAUUCAAUGCUUCAGGGGUCAUGGAAGUGGAGAUGUAGCUGGAGACCAACAAAGAUGGACACUUGCUGAGAAAAAAGAGAUGGUGUCUUCUCAGGCAAAAGGAAAACAAAAUGGAAUUCAGAAUGUAUCCCUAUUGUCCAAGUCUCUGUGCGCCAAGGACCUGGAAGCAAAUGAAAAAUUGUUUAACAG